rnacentral:lncRNA from 1 species
GUGGGCUGAGUCCGAAAAGAGUCAGCGAAGGGAGAUAGGGGUGGGGCUGUUUUAUAGUAUUUGGGAAGGUAAUGGAAAAUUACAGUCAAAGGGCGGGCAGGAGUGGGGGGUCGCAAGGUGCUCAGUGGGGGUGCUUCUGAGCCAGGAGAAGGAAAUUUGCAGGGUUAAUCACUCAGUUAAGGUGGGGCAGGAACAAAUCACAAUGGUGGAAUGUCAUCAGUUAAGGCGGGGCAGGGCCUUUUCACUUCUUUUGUGAUUCUUCAGUUACUUCAGGCCAUCUGGGUGUAUAUGUGCAAGGCACAGGGGAUGCGAUGGCUUGGCUUGGGCUCAGAGGCCUGACAGUGGCACACGCCUGUAAUCCCAGCUACUUGGGAGCCUGAGGCAGGAGAAUCACUUGAACCCAGGAGGUGCAGGGUGCAGUGAGCCGAGAUCGCCCCACUGCACUCCAGCCUGGGCAACAGAGACUCCAUCUCAAAAAAACAAAAAAAAAAGCACAGGUCCCCUCCCUCAGUCCUGCAGACUUCCUCAAGCUGGGAAGGACCAAGGAUUUUGGGAAAUAACUCCACCGGCUUACAGACAGUGCACCCCAGGACAAAGAGUCAUGGUGUAAAUUUUAAUUAUCCUUUGUAGAGGCUUCAAAAAAAAAAAAAUCUAGAGUGCAGAGGUUCAGUCUGGUCCACACAGUUCUGAAUGCCUUUUAAUUAUCAUCACACACACCAGAGAAGGUCAUCUUAGAAUAUUUAAUCAGUUAGCACUAGAUGAAGGCUGGAGUAGGAGAGACUGGGAUAGUGGGGGGCAAUGUGGGGAUGGAGGCAGGGCGAGGGAGAUAAAGUCAAACUGGUUUUUUUUUUGUUUUUUUUUUUUUUUUUUUUUGGAGACAGAGCCUUACUCUGUCGCCCAGGCUGGAGUGCAAUGGUGUGAUCUCAGCUCACUGCAACCUCUGCCUCCUGGGUUUAAUCGAUUCUCCUGCCUCAGCCUCCCAAGUAGCUGGGAUUACAGGCACCCACCACCAUGCCCAGCUAAUUUAUUUGUAUUUUUUUAGUAGAGACAGGGUUUCACCAUGUUGGCCAGGCUGGUCUCGAACUCCUGACCUCAGGUGAUCCACCCGCCUCGGUCUCCCAAAGUGCUGGGAUUAUAGGGGUGAGCCACCGUGCCCAGCUAAGAUAUUUCAAUCUGUGAAUAACCCAUAUGGCCUGGUAACAGCAAGCACCUGGGAAUAUAUACAUAUAACCCACAUACGGACUGUCCCGUUCACUCCUCACAACCACUCUGCUAACAUACUACCAUCACCCCAUUUUAGAGAUGAGGAAACUGAGGCAGAGGUGCCUUGCCUAAGGUUUACAUAGUUCCAUUUGAGUGCCUACAUGGGAGUGCUUCAUUUGGUCCCCAAAGCUAGCCUGAGACAAGAACUUUCUUCUCCCCCCCCCGCAAGAGACAGGCUCUUCCCAUGUUGCCCAGGCUGCUCUCCAACUCCUGGCCUCAGGCGAUCCUCCCACCUCGGCCUCCUGAAGUGUUGGGAUGACAGCCAUGAGCCACUGUGCCUGCCCAGUUAUUAUUUUAUAAAUGUAGAAACCGAGGCACUGAGAGGUAAAGUAACUUGCACAGGAUCACAAGCCAGCCGAGAAGUGGUAGAGCUUGGAUUUGAACUUACACAAUCUGGGACUCAUACUCUUAAUACACAGUGGUACUGUCAAUACAGGAGACACAUGUGGCUAUUUAAUUAAAAGUAGUUGGGCAGAGUGGCUCACUCCUAUAAUCUCAGCAUUUGGGGAGGCCAAGGCAGGAAGAUUGUUUGAGCCCAGAAGUUCAACACUGCAGUGAGCUAUAGUUACACCACUGUGCUCCAGCCUGGGCGACACAGCGAGACCCUGACUCCAAAAAAAAAUCUUAAGGUUUUUUUUUUUUUUUUUUUUUUUUUGAGACAGGGUCUCGCUCUGUUGCCCAGGCUAGAAUUUAGCGGCACGAUCACAGAUCAUCACAGCCACGCACGACCUCCUUGGCUCAAGGGAUUCCUCCCACCUCAGCCUCUCACGUAGCUGGGACUACAGGUAUGCAUAACCUCGCUGGGCUCGUUACUUUGUUUUUUUUUUAGAGGCAGGAUUUCACCAUGUUGCCCAGGGUGGUCUCGUACUCCUGGAUUCAAGCAAUCCUCCUGCUUCGGCCUCCCAAAGUGUCAGGAUUACAGGCGUGAGCCACUGUGCCCAGUCUCAAACAAAAUUAAAAAUUCAGUUUCUCAGUCACACUAGCCACAUUUCAAGUGCUCAGAAACUUUAUGUGGGGCCAGGCAUUUUAAAAUAGGGAGAUUUAA